rnacentral:rRNA from 1 species
CGAAGGGGGCUAGCGUUGUUCGGAAUUACUGGGCGUAAAGCGCGCGCAGGCGGUCUUCCAAGUCAGUGGUGAAAGCCCGGAGCCCAACUCCGGAACUGCCAUUGAAACUGUUAGACUUGAGGAUGAGAGAGGUGAGUGGAAUUCCCAGUGUAGAGGUGAAAUUCGUAGAUAUUGGGAAGAACACCGGUGGCGAGGGCGGCUCACUGGCUCAUUACUGACGCUCAGGCGCGAUAGCGUGGGGAUCAAACAGGAUUAGAUACCCUGGUAGUCCACGCCGUAAACGAUGAAUGCUAGCCGUUGGGCAGCUUGCUGUUCAGUGGCGCAGCUAACGCAUUAAGCAUUCCGCCUGGGGAGUACGGCCGCAAGGUUG